rnacentral:lncRNA from 1 species
UGUAAGUCAUGUCAUGUUUUGAUGUCCAAAAAAGAAGCAAUAAUGUACCUCAGUGACCCAAUACUCCAACAAUCCAGGCCAUACGUUAUGUUGCUCAUGGUCCAAACCUAUGUCUCACAGCAUGUUUGGUUAUAAGAAAAAAUAUGCGUUUUUGUAUAUUACGGAAUCAUGUUAUGCCGAAAUUAGCCAAAGUGAUAAAGUUUGUGCUUACUCAUGGAAAAUUUUCAGCUCUUGAAUGA